AGUGAUGUGGCUCAGUGGUGGAGCAUCUUCUUUGAAUGCAGAAGGUCUGAGUUCAGUUCCUGGUACUGCCA